rnacentral:rRNA from 1 species
GAUGAACGCUGGCGGCGUGCCUAAUACAUGCAAGUCGAGCGAACAGACGAGGAGCUUGCUCCUCUGACGUUAGCGGCGGACGGGUGAGUAACACGUGGAUAACCUACCUAUAAGACUGGGAUAACUUCGGGAAACCGGAGCUAAUACCGGAUAAUAUAUUGAACCGCAUGGUUCAAUAGUGAAAGACGGGUUUGCUGUCACUUAUAGAUGGAUCCGCGCCGCAUUAGCUAGUUGGUAAGGUAACGGCUUACCAAGGCGACGAUGCGUAGCCGACCUGAGAGGGUGAUCGGCCACACUGGAACUGAGACACGGUCCAGACUCCUACGGGAGGCAGCAGUAGGGAAUCUUCCGCAAUGGGCGAAAGCCUGACGGAGCAACGCCGCGUGAGUGAUGAAGGUCUUCGGAUCGUAAAACUCUGUUAUUAGGGAAGAACAAAUGUGUAAGAAACUAUGCACGUCUUGACGGUACCUAAUCAGAAAGCCACGGCUAACUACGUG